UAUAUUUAUUUAUAAUAAUCGCCAACUUCAGGUCAUUUUUAAUGUAUUCGUGUAAUUGGCGCAAAUUAGGUUCUCGCAAGAAAAAUGUUCCGCGAUAAUAUUCGUCAUUUUGUGAUAAUACACAUACAUUCACUUCAUCCUUCCACUUCAAGAACGUGGAAUGCAGAACGCGAGGCGAACAAUAAUGGCAGUCACGAUAUAAAGAGUGGAGAUGCUUUGAUGGCUUUCUUCACAUCACUUAAUCAUUAUAUCGCUGCAUCAUUGCAAGUGACGUUUUCGUGACGCAGUUGCGAUCUGAAUGAUGGACUGGUACAAAAAAUCUUAUCGAGGAAUUUAGCUUCAAACUUCGCCAUUCGCUCGUGUUUUGCGCGACGAAACUCAAGAGGCCCGGAUGAGAGACGACUUUCUUCAUCCUAUCGCGCUUCGUCUCGCAAUCGAAAUCGUCUUCCUGACAAACCAGCGUAUCCCGCCAGCUUCUCAAGAUUAUCAGAUCGGCGAUCUGCGCGAGUUCCGGAUCCACGGGAUCGUCCGGUCUCAGAGCCACCGCCAAAGUGUAUCCUAUUCUGGUGAAGGAAAAGCUGAAUGUCUUCAGUAUAAUCUUGAAGCUGUCCCAAUCGUCGGCGACAGUCGGCCAGUCGAGCUCGAUGCCGUCGAAGGGAUAUUUCUCGAGGAAUUCAAGGAUGGACUUUUCCGGAAAGGAGGGCAUUUUCGAGAAAAAUUGGAUGUCGUCGUACACAAUGUAAUUUGUGAGUGAUAUGAGCACCUGCAGCGUUGGAUCCCGCGAACGAAGUUCCAUAAUAGCUUUAUAUCCAGCUGUGUAGCAAGGAUCGGCGGUGCCACAGGUUCGAUCCAAAUCGAUUCGUGGUCCACAUCGACACUUAGGAAAGGCGCCUCGCGAUGUUCCACCGCGUCUCUCAAAGGGUGUGAAAAACUGUCACUGUCAGACGGGAGUGAAAACACCGUCCGAUGAAAACACCUGUCAACGGCGCACUGAUCCGAGCAAGGGCUCCUCUUCUAGGUCUCCUCCAGGUGUGUGCGUGCUCCUCCGCGAUGAAUUUUAAAAGACCACCACCACCACCGCGAACGGGGAGGGCCAACAAUCUGGUAUUCCGGACGCGCGAGGACGCAAUAUAUAUACCUACUCCUCCAUUCCGGGGACGAGAGAGAGCCCCCGUGAUCCAACAUCCUACCUAUUAAGUCUCCCGCUCUGCGACGACCUUGACCACGACUUCGUUCAU